rnacentral:rRNA from 1 species
CUAGUUGGUGGGGUAAAGGCCCNCCANGGCNACGAUCCGUAACUGGUCUGAGAGGAUGAUCAGUCACACUGGAACUGAGACACGGUCCAGACUCCUACGGGAGGCAGCAGUGGGGAAUAUUGGACAAUGGGCGAAAGCCUGAUCCAGCCAUGCCGCGUGUGUGAAGAAGGUCUUCGGAUUGUAAAGCACUUUAAGUUGGGAGGAAGGGCUGUAAGUUAAUACCUUGCAGUUUUGACGUUACCGACAGAAUAAGCACCGGCUAACUUCGUGCCAGCAGCCGCGGUAAUACGAAGGGUGCAAGCGUUAAUCGGAAUUACUGGGCGUAAAGCGCGCGUAGGUGGUUUGGUAAGUUGGAUGUGAAAGCCCCGGGCUCAACCUGGGAACUGCAUCCAAAACUGCCUGACUAGAGUACGGUAGAGGGUGGUGGAAUUUCCUGUGUAGCGGUGAAAUGCGUAGAUAUAGGGAAGGAACACCAGUGGCGAAAGGCGACCACCCUGGACUGAUACUGACACUGAGGUGCGAAAGCGUGGGGAGCAAACAGGAUUANAUACCCUGGUAGUCCACGCCGUAAACGAUGUCNACUAGCCGUUGGGCUCCUUGA